AUGACACAUCGGAGGGGGCAUUCCCCUUUGAUGUACAAAGUAUUUAUCGCUGAAAGAUGGCCUCGCGUCUGAUUAGAUAGUUGGCGGGGUAACGGCCCACCAAGUCGACGAUCAGUAGCCGGACUGAGAGGUUGACCGGCCACAUUGGGACUGAGAUACGGCCCAGACUCCUACGGGAGGCAGCAGUGGGGAAUAUUGGGCAAUGGACGCAAGUCUGACCCAGCAACGCCGCGUGAAGGAAGAAGGCUUUCGGGUUGUAAACUUCUUUAAGGGGGAAGAGCAGAAGACGGUACCCCUUGAAUAAGCCACGGCUAACUACGUG
rnacentral:rRNA from 1 species